rnacentral:lncRNA from 10 species
GUGGGGGUUAGGGGGGCACCGAGCAUUGUACUUCCCUGCAGACCCCCAGGGGCUGGGGCUGCUGAGGGGCUGCUCAGCACCUGUCCCGACCCCUCUGCUGCCCUCCUGGCUGCUGAUGGCUCCUGCCAGAUGCCCUGUUGUAGCAGGAUGUUGUUGGGAGUAUGGCCACCACCACCACCUACCUCCCAUGUGGACCACUUGUGCCACCCAAGAGGGCCUCCCUCUCUCCCCAACCUCGGUUCAGUAAACCCAGGGACCCCAUGCGUACCUCCAGAAGUGCAGCUGUGUUCUCCAAGCCCAGUGACUGACAGCUCCCCCUAAUGCCAUGGCUGCCGUGAGGGAGGAGUAGCUCCCCCAAGUUUCCCCAAGGUGGGCCCUGCAGCCCCCGUUCAGCCUUGGCGUGUUGCCCUGGCUCCCCACAUCUACGGAUUUGGGGCCUUCUCUUCUUAUUGAUUUCCUGUCACUGCAAUAACAGAUUCCCACAGACUUAGUGGCUUAAAACAACACAAAUGUAUCAUCUCACAGUUCCAGAGGGUGGAAGUCCAAACCGGGUCUCCCUGAGCGAGGGUCAAGGUGUUGGCAGGACUGCUUCCUUCUGGGGCCUCGAGGGUGAAUCUGUGCUCUUGGCUUUUCAGGCUUCUAGAAACUGCUUCAUUCCUUGGCAGUGGCCCCUCCCUGGAUCUUCAAAACCAGCAAUGGCAGGUUGAGUCAUUCCCAUGUCACCUGAUGGUGACUCUUUCCUGCUUCCGUCUUCUACUCACGGGGACCCCUGUGAUGACUUUGGGAGCACCUGGAUGAUCCAGGAAACUCUCCCCAUCUGAGGGAAUGGUUGGCAACCGUAAUUCCAACUGCAACCUUCAUUGUCCUGUGUCAUAGCAUAUUCACAGGCUCUAGGGACUAGGUUGUGACAUCUUCAAGGGGCCAUUAUUCCACCUCCCACACCUUCCCAACCCUGGCUGUGCUGGCCCUGACUGAGAGGAGGGGGUUUCCACUUCCGUCACCUGGCAAGGGAACCUCCACAGCCCAAGAAUAUUAACAUUUAUCAGGUGCCGGGCAUGGGCCUCAUGUGUUUUAUGUAAUUCAAUCCUCCCAACAAAAGUAUGAGAGCCAGCCCUGCAGCACAGCCUUCAACAUGAGCAACUCCUGCUCUCUGUAGCUCCAGCCCCAGCCUGGACCUAUCUUUCAGAGCCAUAAUGCUGAGACAGUCCCUGAGUCUUGGAUGAACACGUGAGGAGAAGAUGCUGUUCUGAGAGCUGCUGAUAAUACGUGGAUCCAAACCCACAGGCUUGAGCUGCUUAAUUGAAAUUCACGUCAAAAUGAAAUUCUGGUUUAGCUCAACUUGACUACUAUGGAUGAUGAAAAUAAAUCCCUGGGUCACACAAGGAUAGUGAUUGAGUAGAGCUUGUUUGCUGGCACAGGAAUGACAUUUCAACUGGAAUUAAAUUGUCGUCAGUUAACAGAACUGAAUUUUCAGUCAUUCUUUGACUUGAAUUUUCUUUUUUCCCAAGAUAACAUGGACAGGACCCAG